ACUCCUACGGGAGGCAGCAGUGGGGAAUAUUGCACAAUGGGCGAAAGCCUGAUGCAGCGACGCCGCGUGCGGGAUGAAGGCCUUCGGGUUGUAAACCGCUUUUGAUUGGGAGCAAGCGAGAGUGAGUGUACCUUUCGAAUAAGCACCGGCUAACUACGUGCCAGCAGCCGCGGUAAU
rnacentral:rRNA from 1 species